AUGCAUACAGUUUUUGGGAAGGAUCCUUUCGGGAAGAAGAAAACCAAGAGGAAGCGCAAGGAUGAUGAGCCGUUAAUAGUUUGGAAAAGGAAGUCUAUUUUUUUCAGGCUGCCAUAUUGGGAGAGCUUGUUGCUAUGUCACAACUUAGACGUCAUGCACAUAGAAAAAAAUGUAUGUGAGGACAUAAUCAACACAUUGUUGUGCAUUGAUGGGAAAUCUAAGGAUAAUCUGAACUAUCGCUUGGACCUUCAAGCUCUAAACAUUAGAAGUGACCUUCAUCUUGUUGAACUUGAAGUAGAAGAUAAAUUUUACUUACCUCCAACACCUUAUGAAAUGAAUGUUGCCCAACAGAGGUUAUUUUGUGGAGUAUUUAAAGGAGCUAGGUUCCCUUAUGGGUUAGCAACUGAUAUACGUGGUAAUGUGCAUGUCAAGGAAAGGAAAAUAAUCAGGCUAAAGAGCCAUGACAACCACAUCUUGAUACAACAUUUGCUACCACUUGCUGUGAGAAGGCUAUUGCCCAAAAAAGUUAGUGCAGCACUGAUUCGUGUUAGCAAUUUUUUCAAGAAGAUUUACUCACAUGUUAUUUCUGUUAGUGAUAUGGAAAAACUAGAGGUUGAAAUAGCUGAGACCUUGAGCAUUCUUGAGACUAUUUCCCCCCAUCCUUUUUUGAUAUCAUAG
rnacentral:rRNA from 1 species